UACGUAGGGUGCAAGCGUUGUCCGGAAUUAUUGGGCGUAAAGAGCUCGUAGGCGGUUCGUCACGUCGGCUGUGAAAACCUGAGGCUCAACCUCAGGCCUGCGGUCGAUACGGGCGGACUUGAGUACUGCAGGGGAGACUGGAAUUCCUGGUGUAGCGGUGAAAUGACGCAGAUAUCAGGAGGAACACCGGUGGCGAAGGCGGGUCUCUGGGCAGUAACUGACGCUGAGGAGCGAAAGCAUGGGGAGCGAACAGG
rnacentral:rRNA from 1 species